AAUGGGAGUGAUGAGAUUUUCACCUUAGGCAGAUAAAACAGGCCGUUCUGGUUGUUUGCUGUAUCUGCCGAUGCUGGGGUUUGUCAUAGUUACACUGACUACAUU
rfam:Callipepla squamata strain Texas jcf7180005234357, whole genome shotgun sequence.